UGCCAGUGAUUAUUUUUUUAACUUGGAGGAAAAAGUAGAUAUAAAUCACUUGGUGUGUCUGACAAUUUUUUAUUGAGGGGAUUUAUAGAAUCACAGGCUCAGAAGAGAAGCCAAGAGCCUGGAGAGUUGUUCUCCUGCCUUGGGGUGCCCGGGAUCAGAUCUGGAACGGCCACCCCUACCUUUUUCCCAUGGGCAGAAUGGCCCAAAUGCAAAGAGGACAGAUUUCCUAAGAAUGGGAGUGUGUGGAAAAGACGGAUGGCCUCCUCUGCACCUGACAGCUUCCCACUGACAACAUCUGUGAAGGGAGGAGAGGACUUGGCAUAGCUGAGCCAGAGAAGACGAUUCCAAGACUUGUGAGUCUGAGAAACACAGCAUUCUGGCCUCUUUCAGCUUCUGAGCUUUGACGCCUACAUAGGUGUCCUGGUCACACUGAAACAGCUGACUUAAGCAAGAGGGUCAUGUGAUAAGGAAUGUGGAUGACUUCUGGGGUCUGAUAGCAGCCCCCUGUGAUAGCCAAGAAGGAAAAAAGGACCUCAGUCCUAUAAGCACCAAAGAACUGAAUUCUGCCACAACCAUAUGAUCUUGGAAGAAGACCCUGCAUUCCAGAGGAGAAAAAAGAUUAAUUUGGCCUUGGAUGACCCUGGGCAGAGAACCUAGCUAUAACAUGCUUGGACUUUGGACCCACCAAACUGUGAGCAAGAAAAAAAAAUAGUAGUAUUUGGAAACAGCCAACAAAAAGAAAUAAAGUCAUCUGAGAAGGUGCUGAGACCAGCGUAUGUCCUAGCCCCAUGAAAGGACCUCGCACAAGACGGUGAAUCGGCAGAAAGAUCUGGAACGCAGUAGAGAUGGAAGUUCAGACAGGAACACGUGGGGCAGCACGUGGAUAGUGCCGUGGGCAGGACACACAUGCUUUAUGACCCAGAGAUGCCACUCUCUCCAGCACCAGCCAACUCUGUCUGGAAAGACCCUUUGGAUAUCCAUAAAUGCCAUGUACAAAGGAGAUUUUUUUGUUGUUGUUCCUAAAGGCUCAUUUCCUCUGGCGGCCAAUGAAUAAAAGGUACAAAGAAAAACAGCCAGCCAUGCCCGGGAAAGACAUCAGGGCCACACCUUCCCCUGGCCAGGAGAUGAGAGCAGGGAGGGAAGACAAGAGCACGCCAAGCCCUUUCCCUCGUGGCCAAAAACCAAAUGUGGUUUGCAGAUGCCUUGGCCAGCGACGGCCCCUGGCUGGGAACUGCCUGUGCUCCUGUCCCGCUCCCUCACACCGACUCCGAGGGGACCCAUGCAUGCUCUCUUUCUGCCCUGCUCUGGCCUGGGCACCGGCCCCCUAGGAGAGUCUAGCCCUCUUCCUCGGCCGAGCAGCUCAGAUGUGCCACCACCUGCCAAACCAGCCUUAUGAACGGAAGAUGCUCAGUGCCCCUGCAGCCCAGAAGUCCCCUUGAAAACCACCGUGAAACUCUCCAUGGAAAGAGCUGAGAGCUGAACCACUCAGAGGCAGUUUCUUCAAAAUAAGAUAUCAAUCAAAUUCAUCUUUUCCAAGCUGCCUGGAAUGCCAAAUUACGUGUGGGCAACAUAAGGACAGUCCUGGCUGCCUAAAUUGUGCACUGAUGAGAUACGGUCUGUGGUGUCUCCAGCGGACAUCAGCACAUGUUUUCACAGAAACACACUCAGAACAGGACGUUUCCCAUGGGCCACCUUUCGUGGCCUUCCUGCUUUCCUAGGCCGGCUUCCCUCCCCUCCGCUGGUCUUGUUUGGGAGUUGACUUGCCCUCCUUGGGCAUGAUGACCAUGGGAUUUCAAUUUUCUCCCUGGUUUUAUACAAACCGAAGGGAUUGAGGUAUUGAUGGUGUCAGUGGUAGCUUGUGGUGACCUUCCCAGCCUUGUGAAGAUUUUCGAUGGUGUUCACAGUCUGGAGAAAUGUCAGUGGACAUUUGCUUAAGCCCAGAAGGACCCACACACGAAUCAUGGUUAGGAGGCCUCAUUUCUACAAGGAGACCCGGAUGCUAAGGGCUCUCCUUCAGAAGAGGGUCCCUCAUGCAGUUCCUCCUUCCAACCCAAUUGAGCAAGUGACAUGCCUGGUCACAGAACCACAAGCUCAGUCUGUCACUGACCUGAAGGUCAAGGGUCCAGAGAGGUAUUCUUCAUUUUCUUCAAGGUUAUCUGUUGGUACAAAAGGGACCCCACUGUACACGAGACUCACAAAGCAGCAGGACCACGUUCCACGAGGCCACUGAACUCUCACAAGACUGCAUGGUUUCGAGGAGAAGGCUGCCCCAGGGCUGUUCUGGAAGGCUGGGGUGGGGUUGGCCGAGAGGGAGGGAGACUGUGCGGUGGGGGGAUGUGCUGAGUGCAGUAGAAACCUGAGCUGCCUCUUGUGCUGAAUGGAGGGCUACUUUGCCAAUUUGGGUUUCCCCUUCAAGCCCCCAAGGUGAUGUGCGAGAUGCCACUCGCCCAGGCAUAGGCAAUGGCUGGACGGGGCUGGUGAAGUUACAGCUGGCCAUCUAGAUACCGCCCGAGUAAAUACCUGCCCAGAACUUGGGAAGUGAAGCAUUUUCAAGAGAUGAAAAUGCCCACAUGUAAUGCCAAGGGCAAGGGCUCGAUCCUGGGGAAGCCAUUAGCUCUGCCCUUUCCCUCCCUGCCUUUGGGCUAACUCUGGGCCAAUGGUUCCAUGUGGGUCAUAAGAAACAUGAACAGGGACAUAAAUGGCUGAUGAUGAAUCUGCCACCAACAUUUUACAAAGCCACAGUUGAAUACUGGCCGUGGUGCUGGAAGUCUCAAGGGUUGUUUUUUUUUUUUUUUUUUGCUUGUUUUUGUUUUUAUAGAACACACCAUUGAAAUACACUGUUAGUGGGUGGUAUAGCACAGUGGCUGGGUGUAGGCGCCGGAAGCAAGUUGGCAACGUGAAGUCCUAGCGCUGCCUCUUACAUGCAUGAGACUUGGGAAGCAAGCUAUUUAAUUUCAUUGUGCCUCAGUUUUAUUUUUCCCUUGGAAAAACAAGGUUGAUGAUGAUGAUGGUACUUCCAUGGAUUUGUUGUGAGGAAUAAAUAAGAUUGAACAUACAAAAGAGUUAGAGGGCCUUGCUAGGAAUUGACCUUGGGACACACGUCAAGUCACCACUGGGAUGGUGGUCACCAAUGAGCCAGAAGGAGCCUCAAAGGCAUCUGGUCAGAUGCCACCACCACACAAAGAAGGAAGCUGGAUUCCUGAGAGGCAACGAUUCUUGCCAAAGGUCACCAGUAGCAUGGUGCUAGUGCUGUCCUCUCCUGACUCACAAAGGGAACGGUGGCACUUAGGUGUCAUCUUCCUCACUAAACACAAAUGUUGACAGGCGUCACCCUGAACUCUCCGUUCACGGUGUCACCUCCCCAAACUGAACAGCUGAAACAUUUUCCAGGCACCACAUAGAAGAGUCCCACAGGGGACCAUUCCCAGUGAGUCCCAGACAGAGGCGCUUGUGUAAUGAGACGAGGGAAGGGCACAAGGCUUGUGUCCCCACAGCCAGCUGAUGGAUGGGAGGCCCCUGUGCUAUGGCAAAGCCACUUCCCAUUACUAAUUUGAUGGUGUGUGAAAUGAGCCAUGUUUAUGAGCAGCCGAGGGAGUUCCUUCAGGGGAGCUGCCCCGUGUUCCGUGAGCCCAACUGUCCCAACAGGGUGUCAAGAUGGCUUCUGACCCUCUUUGCUGACUAAGAGUGGUGGCGACAGUGACACACAAUUUGCUGCAUUUCUCCUUUCUUGACAAAACCAGCCUGGUCUUUGGGAAAUAAUACCUGCUUGUUUUUGGUGACUCUACGCUUGACUCUUGCUCCCCUCUGUGCUCUUCUGAAUCAGUCCACCUUCCCUGGGAAGCAUCAUUUUGGAGAAAAAUAGGUUUCAUUUGAAUUCUUUCAAGGGAGGUCACUCACUCUGUGAUGUCUGAGAUAUCGGGUUGAGCUGGUAAAAUGGGACAAGUUGAUAUUAUAUUAAAUAAUCCUAGCCUGAGGUUAGGGAUGGAAGUGCUUGGGACAGCAGAGGAAUAAAGGAUUGAUUCUAAGUGUGGGUGUUCUCUAGGGGAACACAGUAGAAGCACAGGAGUCUUACAGUUCUUCAGUAAAAUCUAUCAACAAACUUUUCUUUAUAAACAGUGCAAGGACCAGGAUGGACAGUCCUCUGGUGAAGACCCACAAAGACUUCCACACGUGUGGUGAGAAGCAGAGGGAAGGAGGAAGGCUGGGGGAACGCUCCAAGGUGUUCGGUGGUGACCUGGACAGCAGGAUAUUACUUGAUAGCAAGGACAUAUGAAAUAGAACUCACCAGCCCUCUGCAGAAAUGGUGCAUUCUGCAGGCAGGCUAAUUUUGGUUACAUUUUUCUUCUUCUUUUUUUUCUUAACAAAUGUGUUAGAGAUUGAAUUAUGUACCCCCAAAUCCAGAGGGUGAUGCUCUGACCUCCAACAUGACCUUAUCUGGACACAGGGCCUUUAACAAGGCAAUUAAAGUUAAAUGAGGUCAUAACAUGGGACCUCAUCCAAUAGGUCUGGUGUCCUUACAGGAAGAAUGAGACACCUGAGCUUUCUGUCUCCGCUCACACACAGACAAAAGCCAUAUGAAGACCCAAGGAGGCAGCUAUGUGCAAGCCAAAAGAGGGGCCCCACCAGAAGCCAAUCAUGCAGGCACCUCAGCCUUGAACUCCAACCUCCAGAACUGUGAGAACAUCAGUUUCCAUUGUUUACACCCCCAAUCUGCGGUGUUUUCUGGGCAGCCCAAGUGGACUAAUACAAGAACUCCUUCUGCCUUCCAGUCGGACAUGUUAAUUUUUCCCGAAUCCGUUUUCACCUGGAAUGCUGUGCCAGCCAGUGCCCCUCCAAUCUGGAGAGACAACUCCUUAUAUAAGUGACUUUUAGAAAGCCUUGAAGGAAGGAUCCAGAGGGAAGGUGAACAAGGCUCUUCUGUCUGCUGCUCUGUGGAGGUGAGGCUCAGCAGCAGAUCCUCAACCAUGAGGGGACAGUAGAGGUUCCAGAUUGUAGAAAUAUUAUCUAUUUUUUUUCUUUCUUCUCUGUUGCUUGGAAUUGUUAUUGUCCAAGGAGAGCUUAGUCCCUCUUUGAAGGGCUUUCACUUGAUUAAAUCAGGUCCAUCCAGGAAAAUCUUACUUUUGAUGAAAUCAAAAUCAACGAAUUUGGGACUUGAAUUCCAUCUGAAAAAUCCCUUUGCGGUGGCACCCAGACUUGUGUUUGAUUGAAUAGCUGAGAGAAGGUAUGUGUACAUUAUAAAGUGGCUGCCAUCUCCUGUGGGACACUCCAAUGCACUAGGAAUAAUCUCUCUUGUAGUCCAUCCUAACCAGGGAUGCACCAAAAAGGGAACUGGGGGUAAUACUGUUUAGCUAUAACAGGGCCAUCACAAGCCCAUCUCAGCACUGAAGGCUCUGGAUGUCCUUUGGUUUCACUUGCAUGGUCACAUCUAGGGUUGGUCUGUCAAAAAAACUCUUCCCUGACUCCCUUGGAAAGACCACCAGGCUUCAGAAAGACAUGUUCUCCUCCUCUUCCCUUAGUGGUCCUCCUUAGGUUUAAACCCUGUCUGGGCUCACCACGGUAGUCUUUGUUUCUGUUCACUGAAAUGGCCUAGGAAGGAUCCAUCUACACUCUGGUGGAUGCUUUGCUGUAGGUCUUCCAAUGAUAAACGCAGGUUGAAUCAUGGCUUUGCCAUUAUAAGCUGUAUGGAACUGGGCCAAUCCUUUUCCUGUUCAUGGCUCAAAGAAUAAUCACCCCUUAGGGUCACCCUAUGGACUAAGUGACAGAGUAUAUGUAGAACUAUGCAUGGCACCUUUACACUGUAAGAAUUUGAUAUGUGAUAACACAUCUGGAUCAUUAUCAUUGUGACUGUUAUUUGAAUUACUUUUUCACAUUCUUUAAAGAAAAUCUCAUACAUUUCUUAUCCAGAUCCAGAAUUACCCUAACCAGAUUUUUAUCAACUGAUGUGCUCUUCACCACCUCAAGAGUUAUCUCAAGUUUCUAGCUAUUUUAAGACACAUAUUUAGAGAGUCUUCUAAUUGAUAUCAGACCUUCAGCAUUUUCUCAGAUACACUUCCCACCACGGCACCAGCAGCAGCAAAGAUAAAUAUAAUAAUGAUAACUCCAUGGAACCUCAAUGUGUGCUGAAGGAGCCAAUGACAAUAUGAACAGCAGGAGAGGAAGUUUCUUCCUACCAAUUAAUGGGAAGCCAAGUCUAAUUUGCCACCUGCAUGGCACUUUUGAACCUGUCAGGGAAAAAGCAAACCAGUGAACUUCAUCUUGUCACUAGUCUUCUUAGGGGCUGCUCUCUAAAGCAAAGGAAAAUAGCAUUCAUUAAAGUGAAAAAUAGAAAGCCCGUGUCAGCCCCCUACAUUCUCCUCUUAGUUAGAAACAGAGUCCAUGGUUGCCGAUGGGAAGGUGGUUCUGAAAGCCCACUGGAUCUGUGCUGACUCUGGAGACUGAAUAUUUUCUUAAUAAUUUCUGAUUUCUUUUUGAAAAGUUUUGACUGUUAAGUCAUUAGCUCUCUUGGAACUUCAGAGUCAAGGGACAUUUUAAACACUGGAGUUCUAAAUCUGAGAGAAUGUUGUAUAAAGUCAAAGAUAAAUUCUAAGUGUAGAAUACAGGACUUCCAAAAUGGGUUCUCCUUGAAUCAUCUAGAAUAACUAUAAACACAUUUAUACAAUCCAUUAUUAAUACAUUCCUUGGUAAAACACCCACAAUCAAACACAAAGCCCCCUUCCCAAUAUAUUUACUUUGCUUACAAUUAUGGAUGCGACCACUAGGAGGCAGGGUAACAGAUGACCAGGAUGUUAAAACUAGGGUCGACAUUAAUGCAGCUUAUAUUUAGUAGAUCUCCCAUGUGCCAGGAACAUUGCAAGGCAAAGCUACUUAUAUUCUAGAAAAUUUUCCUUAGUUGAAAAUAAACAUAUUUAUUAUUGCCACUUUUAUAUAGAAACCUUAUGCUAUCAACUUCUAAUUUAUUGAUGAUGCACCUAAUCAGAAAAAAAAACAAGCUCUUAUAGAACAUUUCUCACAAAUUAUGGUAAUCUAAUUCUCAUCGUAUCCUCAUUCCUUGAUUAAAAUUACCUCCUUCCUUUGUUAUGAACUCUUCAUCAUCUGGGUGAGGCUCCACUCUGCUGGCACAUAGAUAUGGAGGCUUUUGGCCCCAUGGGGGGCUUUCCCCUGCUUCCAGAGGCACAGGGACUUCUUUGCCCUCAUCCCAGUUGAGCUGUGGUGCUAGGCCCAGGAGCAGCCUCGUGCCCUCUCUGCCCCUCCUACCCCAGCCUCAUAUCACAGUGAAGGACUGAACUCAAAUGCACCAAAGUCAAGGGGACUCAUGGGGCCAGAGUGCUGAGAAAUCCUCUCUACCUCUUUUGAGGAUGAUAUUCCUUGUGAAGUCUUUUCUUCCACGGUAUUUCAGUUAAAGAGGCCUGGACUGCUCUGAGAAAGACCCGAGUAUGUAGCUCACCAAGUUCUACUUUAAACACCAGGGGUAGUUAGAUUGUCCCUCCUUGGAAAUUUCAUGAAGCAGAGUGGUUGAGGAAGGACGAAGCCUGUCUUGAUUUGGCAUGUAGCUGUUUAUUACUAGAAACCCAGUUUCCUUUUGAAUCAGAGGGACAGGUUUUAUUUGUCUUUUCAAUCUCUGGGGCUCAGCUCUACUCUUCCUGAAAUCUCUUCUCCCCUACAGGAUAGGGUGGCAAGGAAAGAGAAAAAUCAUGUACCAGAGCCUCGAGACCAUUCCCUUGCAUGUACGUCCAUGUCUUUUCCUCCUUGAGGGCUAUUUCCAUUUUUUCUCUUUCUGACCAAUACUUCAUGUGCCAUCAGUGACUCAGGUUGCCUCUAGCAACAGCUUUGCGUAAGCAAAUCAUCACCCACACUUUCUCCUUUUAAGAAUUGUUUCCAUAAACCUGUAACUUUCACCACAGUGUAUUUCCUAACAAGAUUUAUAACCAGGAGACUUAAUGGAUUUUAAUAAAUGGGACACUUGAAGUAUUUCCGUCAGGCCAAAUUGUCACGUUAGGGACAUUUUCCUGGGUACAGGCAUUUUGUGUAGGAUAAUUUCCCAAUAUACACACACACACACAUACACACCCCUUUAUGGGUAUCUCCAUAUGUUAUUCGUAUAAUAAUACAUAAGACAAUAAAUUGCCUUUGCAAAUAUUGGAUAUAAUAGAACUAAGCUCAAUUUAUUAGAUACCAGGAUUAAGACAUUAAAAUUAAGGCAAAAUAGGGAAAGAAUAGAAUAUAUUUGUCUUUCCAUGUGCUUUCUCCAGGGAGGACAUGAACUCAACUAGCAGUUUAAGACCCUCCCAGACUCCCUGGGCAUCACUAGAUAUGCCCUAUAUGCCCAUUUAUAUAUCAAGUCAGAAUUUUCCAAACCAGCUCCCACUUUAAAGCCUCUGUGCUGCCCAGGUCCAUCCACAGUAGUUGAGGAUAAGAAGAACAAGAAUGUCCUGAUGUCCAGGAGAGUCUUUAUGGGCAUAUCUGUCCCUAGACAAAUCUUCUUAGGAAGGAACGAGCCAAGAAAACACCACAAAGAAGUUCUAAUUUGAAACACUAUUUGCAUUGAAUGUCUAAUUUUCUAUUUUCAAUGGCCAUUUACAUCUCUGCCUUAAAUAAGCUUCAUAUAUAUAUACUCACAUGCUCAUUCAUAUAUACAGGCAUAUGUUUCUUAACGAGGGGGUAUGUACUAAGAAACUCACCCCUAACGAUUUUGUCAUUAUGUGACCCUCACAGGACAUAGUUUCAUAAGCCUCAAUGGUGUAGGUCAGUCAUUCGACGUGACCUCAACAUGUGAUUCAUGAGGCUGCUGCUGGUGGGACAGGGCAGGCUGGUUACCGUUAAAUUUUUAUAAGAACAGAGAGUACACUCUAGAAUAAUGUUGAAAAACACACAGUGUAGUAAAUACAUUAACCAGUAAUGGAGUCAUUUAUUGUCAUUGUAAGCGUCAUUACGUAGUAUGUGGGAUCCUGUGUGAUAAAAUUUUGUACAGCUGGCAGCGCAGAGGACUUUUUCACACCAGCCUCACACAGUCACACGAGUAGAGCAUCCUGCUGCCAUGUCAGGGUGGCUGUGUUGCCACUAGGCCGUAGAGUGUUUCAGCUCCAUUACAAUCUCAUGGGACUGCCAUCAAUUGUGUAUGGAGUCCAUUGUUGACUGAAAAGUGGGCUGGGGGGGGUUGUCACUCAGUGGUAGAGCAUUUG